rnacentral:rRNA from 1 species
UUUGAGAGUUUGAUCCUGGCUCAGGACGAACGCUGGCGGCGUGCCUAAUACAUGCAAGUCGAACGAACUCUGGUAUUGAUUGGUGCUUGCAUCAUGAUUUACAUUUGAGUGAGUGGCGAACUGGUGAGUAACACGUGGGAAACCUGCCCAGAAGUGGGGGAUAACACCUGGAAACAGAUGCUAAUACCGCAUAACAACUUGGACCGCAUGGUCCGAGUUUGAAAGAUGGCUUCGGCUAUCACUUUUGGAUGGUCCCGCGGCGUAUUAGCUAGAUGGUGAGGUAACGGCUCACCAUGGCAAUGAUACGUAGCCGACCUGAGAGGGUAAUCGGCCACAUUGGGACUGAGACACGGCCCAAACUCCUACGGGAGGCAGCAGUAGGGAAUCUUCCACAAUGGACGAAAGUCUGAUGGAGCAACGCCGCGUGAGUGAAGAAGGGUUUCGGCUCGUAAAACUCUGUUGUUAAAGAAGAACAUAUCUGAGAGUAACUGUUCAGGUAUUGACGGUAUUUAACCAGAAAGCCACGGCUAACUACGUGCCAGCAGCCGCGGUAAUACGUAGGUGGCAAGCGUUGUCCGGAUUUAUUGGGCGUAAAGCGAGCGCAGGCGGUUUUUUAAGUCUGAUGUGAAAGCCUUCGGCUCAACCGAAGAAGUGCAUCGGAAACUGGGAAACUUGAGUGCAGAAGAGGACAGUGGAACUCCAUGUGUAGCGGUGAAAUGCGUAGAUAUAUGGAAGAACACCAGUGGCGAAGGCGGCUGUCUGGUCUGUAACUGACGCUGAGGCUCGAAAGUAUGGGUAGCAAACAGGAUUAGAUACCCUGGUAGUCCAUACCGUAAACGAUGAAUGCUAAGUGUUGGAGGGUUUCCGCCCUUCAGUGCUGCAGCUAACGCAUUAAGCAUUCCGCCUGGGGAGUACGGCCGCAAGGCUGAAACUCAAAGGAAUUGACGGGGGCCCGCACAAGCGGUGGAGCAUGUGGUUUAAUUCGAAGCUACGCGAAGAACCUUACCAGGUCUUGACAUACUAUGCAAAUCUAAGAGAUUAGACGUUCCCUUCGGGGACAUGGAUACAGGUGGUGCAUGGUUGUCGUCAGCUCGUGUCGUGAGAUGUUGGGUUAAGUCCCGCAACGAGCGCAACCCUUAUUAUCAGUUGCCAGCAUUAAGUUGGGCACUCUGGUGAGACUGCCGGUGACAAACCGGAGGAAGGUGGGGAUGACGUCAAAUCAUCAUGCCCCUUAUGACCUGGGCUACACACGUGCUACAAUGGAUGGUACAACGAGUUGCGAACUCGCGAGAGUAAGCUAAUCUCUUAAAGCCAUUCUCAGUUCGGAUUGUAGGCUGCAACUCGCCUACAUGAAGUCGGAAUCGCUAGUAAUCGCGGAUCAGCAUGCCGCGGUGAAUACGUUCCCGGGCCUUGUACACACCGCCCGUCACACCAUGAGAGUUUGUAACACCCAAAGUCGGUGGGGUAACCUUUUAGGAACCAGCCGCCUAAGGUGGGACAGAUGAUUAGGGUGAAGUCGUAACAAGGUAGCCGUAGGAGAACCUGCGGCUGGAUCACCUCCUU